UGCGGGGUCGUCUAGCGGUAGGACACAAGCCUUUGAAGCUUGUUACGCAGGUUCGAAUCCUGCCCCCGCAG
rnacentral:tRNA from 1 species